AACGCGAAGAACCUUACCUGGGUUUGACAUGCACCAGACAUCCCUAGAGAUAGGGCUUCCCUUGUGGUUGGUGUGCAGGUGGUGCAUGGCUGUCGUCAGCUCGUGUCGUGAGAUGUUGGGUUAAGUCCCGCAACGAGCGCAACCCUCGUUCCAUGUUGCCAGCGCGUUAUGGCGGGGACUCAUGGGAGACUGCCGGGGUCAACUCGGAGGAAGGUGGGGAUGACGUCAAGUCAUCAUGCCCCUUAUGUCCAGGGCUUCACACAUGCUACAAUGGCCAGUACAGAGGGCUGCGAGACCGUGAGGUGGAGCGAAUCUCUUAAAACUGGUCUCAGUUCGGAUCGGGGUCUGCAACUCGACCCCGUGAAGUUGGAGUCGCUAGUAAUCGCAGAUCAGCAACGCUGCGGUGAAUACGUUCCCGGGUCUUGUACACACCG
rnacentral:rRNA from 1 species